rnacentral:rRNA from 1 species
GAUGAACGCUGGCGGCGUGCCUAAUACAUGCAAGUCGAGCGAACAGACGAGGAGCUUGCUCCUCUGACGUUAGCGGCGGACGGGUGAGUAACACGUGGAUAACCUACCUAUAAGACUGGGAUAACUUCGGGAAACCGGAGCUAAUACCGGAUAAUAUAUUGAACCGCAUGGUUCAAUAGUGAAAGACGGUUUUGCUGUCACUUAUAGAUGGAUCCGCGCCGCAUUAGCUAGUUGGUAAGGUAACGGCUUACCAAGGCAACGAUGCGUAGCUGACCUGAGAGGGUGAUCGGCCACACUGGAACUGAGACACGGUCCAGACUCCUACGGGAGGCAGCAGUAGGGAAUCUUCCGCAAUGGGCGAAAGCCUGACGGAGCAACGCCGCGUGAGUGAUGAAGGUCUUCGGAUCGUAAAACUCUGUUAUUAGGGAAGAACAAAUGUGUAAGUAACUAUGCACGUCUUGACGGUACCUAAUCAGAAAGCCACGGCUAACUACGUGC